GCCUUCGUGGUGUAGUGGUCAGCACGCUCGACGCGUAAUCGAGAGGUCCGUGGUUCGAUUCCCGGCGAAGGCG
rfam:Stegodyphus mimosarum contig14223, whole genome shotgun sequence.